rnacentral:rRNA from 1 species
UGCGGUGGCGAUAGCGCCGGGGAACCACCCGUUCCCAUUCCGAACACGGAAGUUAAGCCCGGUAGCGCCGAUGGUACUUGGGGGGCAACCCCCUGGGAGAGUAGGACACUGCCGCAU